rnacentral:rRNA from 1 species
UACGGGGGGGGCAAGCGUUGUUCGGAAUUACUGGGCGUAAAGGGCUCGUAGGUGGCCAACUAAGUCAGACGUGAAAUCCCUCGGCUUAACCGGGGAACUGCGUCUGAUACUGGACGGCUUGAGUUUGGGAGAGGGACGCGGAAUUCCAGGUGUAGCGGUGAAAUGCGUAGAUAUUUGGAGGAACACCGGUGGCGAAGGCGGCGUCCUGGACCAACACUGACACUGAGGAGCGAAAGCCAGGGGAGCAAACGGG